AUAGACCCGAAACCGGGCGAUCUAUCCAUGAGCAGGUUGAAGGUUAGGCAACACUGACUGGAGGACCGAACCCACUCCCGUUGAAAAGGUAGGGGAUGACUUGUGGAUCGGAGUGAAAGGCUAAUCAAGCUCGGAGAUAGCUGGUUCUCCUCGAAAGCUAUUUAGGUAGCGCCUCAUGUAUCACUCUGGGGGGUAGAGCACUGUUUCGGCUAGGGGGUCAUCCCGACUUACCAAACCGAUGCAAACUC
rnacentral:rRNA from 1 species